GCCAAGUACUGAUUUGUGAUUUGUGACAAGUACUGAUUUGUGACAAGUAUAUAUACAAACUGAAGAUAGUUCCAUCAGUAUAUAUAAAAACUGAAGAUAGUCAACUAAGUGCAUAUAAGUGCAUACUGGAUUCCAUAUCAAUUAUGUACCACAGUUAUUUUAACAAGCUCUUGAUAAUUAAAAAAAAGGAACACUAUGGAGCAUGUACUCCCUCUGUUCCAAAUUACUCGUCGCAGAAAUUGAUGUAUCUAGAACUAAAAUACAUCUAGAUACAUCCAUACAUGCGACAAGUAAUUCGGAACGGAGGGAGUAUAUAGCAAAUUAUCCUCUCUGAGCCAUGUUCUUGGUACAGAUUACUUCGGUAGAACGUCAGAUAAAUUAUAGCCGGGGUUAGGAUACCUCUCGAGAAGCAGUAUAUGCCUCGCUAGCACACAAGAACAGUCAGUUCCAUGUAUGAAUCGGACGAACAGUUGGGGCUAUGUCACACCACCAAUCGAACAGUUGUAUAGUUAACCCAGUCUCUUCCCGCAUUAGUUUAACCAGAAGUGAACUGUGUACAGGUUACUAACCUGUGUCUCGCUCGCAGCCGCGCCAGGACCCUUGUCUCGCUCGCAGCCGCGCCGGCACCGUGGAUCGCUGGAAGCCAGGCCGGCACCCGUGUCUAGCUGGCAGCCGCGCCCGGCACCGGGGGCAAAGUUUGAAGAAACAGGCCUCGCACACCUGAUCCGACGGCAAACUUUGAAGAAACAGUUCAAAUCCACAUGAUCCGAACGCAAACCAGGAAGCAUGGAGAAUCAGGCCUUGCUCGCCCCGCUCGGAAGAUAGGAUUUGGAAAUUGUUUGUUGUAUAUGGAAAGAGCAAAAAUAUUAGAUUAAACUGUUGUUUAUGGAAGCUUCUCGUGACGGAAUUUUCCGAUAUGGUUCCAUAUGAUUUGAUUU